GCAACGCGAAGAACCUUACCUGGUCUUGACAUCCCGGAGACCCUUAGGAACUAGGGGUGCUUCCAUCUGGAAGAAUCUGGAGACAGGUGCUGCAUGGCUGUCGUCAGCUCGUGUCGUGAGAUGUUGGGUUAAGUCCCGCAACGAGCGCAACCCUUGCCUUUAGUUGCCAGCAGUUCGGCUGGGCACUCUAAAGGGACUGCCGGUGUUAAACCGGAGGAAGGUGGGGAUGACGUCAAGUCCUCAUGGCCUUUAUGACCAGGGCUACACACGUACUACAAUGGCCGAUACAAAGGGCAGCGACACUGCGAGGUGAAGCCAAUCCCGUAAAAUCGGUCUCAGUCCGGAUUGGAGUCUGCAACUCGACUCCAUGAAGUUGGAAUCGCUAGUAAUCGUGGAUCAGCAUGCCACGGUGAACACGUUCCCGGGCCUU
rnacentral:rRNA from 1 species